rnacentral:lncRNA from 1 species
AUUUCUUCAUGAUUCAAAUAACUUUCAAGAUCAGGCUGACAAUUACACGUGCAUGUCAUGUCAGUAGAGUCUGCAUGAAAAGAUCUAUAAAAGGAGAAAUGACCUGACAAAAAAUGACAAGAAUUAAUAGAAAUAGGAAAUUGCAUUAGACAGAUGGUGAACAGGGUUUGAACAAAACAAGCAAAAUAGACAUGGGUUACAACCCUGGAACAACCCUAGAUAACACUAGACGAGCUACUACAAUAAAACGAACUAGGCAAAAAGAAGAAGAGUUUGAACCACAAGACAAUAUCCGGAUUACAACCCUGAAAUAACCCGGACAAAUAGAAAUGAUAACAAAAUAAACCAUCAAAACUCCUCCUUGUCUAGCCAAGAAAAGAGCAUAUUUCCAAUGACCAAACUCGACGUAUUAGCCACUGGAUUGCACGUCAAAAUUGCUGGGACCUUCACCAAUUUCAAUAUCAUUAACUUCAGUCAGCAAGUUCCCAAAAGGAUUCUUAUACUCCUGUCACCAUGCACCCCCCCCCCCCCCCCCNNNNNNNNNNNNNNNNNNNNNNNNNNNNNNNNNNNNNNNNNNNNNNNNNNNNNNNNNNNNNNNNNNNNNNNNNNNNNNNNNNNNNNNNNNNNNNNNNNNNNNNNNNNNNNNNNNNNNCCCCCCCCCCACAAAGUGUGCAUCAUCAUAUAAAGGUAAAGGAUUCUGUGCGAUAUUCUGGAUGUCAUUGUCCUGGACCACAAUUAUCCCUUCUUGCAUCAUCUUUCUAUCUCCCUUUUCAAAGCACGACAAUAUUCAAUGUUAUUCCCUUGGACAUUAGAGUGGUACAUGCACCGCACAUUAGGAUCAAAACCUUUUGCAUAUGGGUCUGGAGUAUAGCCAAGGAGCGGCUUAAUCAGGCCAGAUUGUUUCAACUUUUCAAACAAACUUGUGUAGGAUUCUCCGAUUGGAGUGAAACAAUUUCUUUGCCUUUGUUCCCCUUUAUGCCCCAGUUUUCUUGGGUUUUUGGGUGCUCAAAAAUGUUGUGAAGGCGAAAAAGAAUUAUGCGAUGCUGGUGCUCACCAUAAGGAUUGACCCAGCGGUUGAACAAAUGACUGGAUGGUGUUCGGAGGAUAAUAUUGAAGUGGAUUAUGUGGUGCUCGGGGAUAGGUUUGGGGAUGGGGUCGAGGUCGAGGUCGAGGAUGAAUAUAUUUGUGAGGUGUACCCUUGGGGCCAUGUCGUGAUCCAGAGACAACCAUGGAAACAUCAUCCUUUUCCUUCUGACUCAGCAAGCUUCUUGUGUCAUUUUAAAUUGCAUGUGUUAUGGAUUUUAAGGCAGAAUAGCUCAUGAUCUUGCUUGACUUCAGUCCAUCUUCCACAAUUUCUCCCAUCUUUACCACAUCAUUGAAAGGCUUACCAAUGGUUGAGAUCAAAUGGCUGAAGUAAGUAGGCUCCAGGGCUUGAAAAAAGUGUUUAACCAUCUCAUCUUCUUCCAUCGGAGGAUUGACCCGUGCAACUUGCUCUCUCCCUCUGAAAGCAUAUUCCCUAAAACUUUCACUGGGUUUCUUCUCUAUUUUUGUCAGGGAUAGGCAAUCUGGGAUAAUGUCUAUGUUGUACUAAAAAAUGCCGAGCAAAGGCCUGAGUCAGAUUGUCCCAUGUGUACCACCUGCUGGCGUCCUUGCGGGUGUACUAUUCAAGAACUGUCCUACUCAAACUCUGGCUGAAGUACGCCAUCAAUAAUUUGUCUUUUCCUCUGGUGCCUCUCAUUUUACUGCAGUAACCUCUCAGAUAAGCUAAAGGAUCCUCGUGUGCAUCAUACAAGUCAAAUUUGUGCAUAUUGAACCCGACAAGUAGUGGAACAUCAGGGAACAAACACAAAUACUUAUAAGCCACACUCACCUAGCUUCCUAGCCCUUGCAUAUUUCUCAAUUAUUGCUCCAGGCUCUUUACUUUUUUAAAACAUCUCCUCAUGCUCCGUGUUCUUGGGUUAUUUCUCAAUUUUAACAUGAGGCUCAAAGUGAGGAGUGUAGGAAUAAGGAUUUGAGACUUUGAAUGUGGGUUUCGGGGCAUAGUAUUGGGUUUCUAGAGCUUGGAAUACGGGAUCACUAAAGGAUUAAUGGAGGGUAGCUUUUGGCGGGGUACAAAAAUAAGAGCAGAUGUCGAAUCAGAGUAUGAGGUUGUUUUGGCUGGUGAAGCAUGGAAAGUUUGGGAGGAAGUGCCACAAUAAUUGUGGUAAGGGGUGAAGCUUGGUGCAUGUUGAGGGGAAAGGUCAACGGUAUUGCAAACCUAGGCUUGUGAUAGUGGUGGAAUGGAGACAUGGUUUUUUGUAUAGUUGGUGUGGAAUGAAGGUGGAGGAUGUCCUCUGAUCCAAGCCUGAUACAUUUCUACCAUUUGCUAUUUCAACCUUUGGACUUCACCUUUCAAUUCAGAUUCCGACUUCUCGAUCUCCUUCGGCAGGUCAACAACUCUUGUGUCCAAGAAAGUAACAAAGGAGAAAAACAAAGCCAACAUGUUAGCGUUAACGCAUUUAUUAGGUAGAAAUAUCACACUGCGUGCAAUGCCCCUAGCAAUAAUUAACUGUUCUAGAAUGGCUUCAAGGGUAGGAAGGUGAUAUGGCAUUAUCCCAAUUUCACUCUUCUUCCCCCAUUUCCUUCUUCAUUUUUCUUUCUAACACCGCUUGAUUUUUCAUUUCUUUCCCCUCUUUUCUUUCUGAUUAUCUCUCUCUUUUUUUUCUCUCUCAUUUCUCACAUGCACAAUUUCAUCUAUUUUAUUCUUUGAUUUUUUUUUCAAAAGAAAUUGAUUCAAUCGAACCCUAUUAGGUUGCCAAUGUAUCAUGUUCCUCAUGAAUCAGAUCAGCGUAGUUCUGAAAAAGUAAUGGACAAAAUAAAUUAAGAAACAAAAAUCUUUUUAGAUUUUUCAUUUAUAAUUAUUUUUUUCAAAUACAAAACAAGAAAUAUGAUGACGCGAGACUUGACAAACUCAACUAUACUACGACAAACUAUUACACCAACUAAAAGACCAAAUACUACCAAACAAGACUAGAAAGCAAAAAAAUAAUAUCAAACAUACUCAAAAUAAAAAGUCUCUUCAAACAGCUCCUAAAUGUGAUGGUCCCGGGGUAUCAGUUAUGCUCGAGCUGUGGUAAAUGAAUUCAUACCUGAAUGAGAAAAAUAAGACCAAAUAGAUUGGUGACUCGAGACGCUAUGAUUCCAUAAAAUUUCCUAAUGGAUAGAUGCAAGACACGAUUUGACUAUAUCUGACUCGAGACAUUAUGUAAGACCACAACACCUCCUAUUGGACACAUGCCUGACACGAUUGGGCAAUUUUUUGAAAAUUAACUUAUGUGGGCUAAAGUGACUAGAAGUGCAAACUCAAUAAAGGUGAACUCAAAGAUAGAAAUGCCUCAUUAAGUCUUAUAUGGAUUCAAAUACACAAUAAUCAUAGCCCAAAAUUAAUUUACAGAAAUGACCCAUUUUGCAAAAAUAGCCUAUGUUGCCGAAAGUGGCUAAAGAUGAAAACUCAAAAGAAAUUGGGCCUUAACGUAAUAUGACACCUAGUUGUGGACUCCAAAUCCUAAUACAUGGCCAAUUGAACGACUUUUGCAAAAAUGACCCCAUUUGGAAAGAAUGACCGAUGUGACCAAAAUUAGCUAAACAUGCAAGAAAUGACUAAGACCCCGCAAAGCCAAUAACCUAAGACUCACUAGGAAGACUGGAUCCUAUGUUGGUUGCCUACUUAUCCCCCCUCGAAAGACGAGAAUCAGGUUCACGUAGUUCGGGAAGAUUGGACAUGGCAGAAAGCCUUAAAAAAUGCAACUAAUUUGAAAAACUAUAUUUUUUGUCUUUUUGAAAAAUGAAUCUUUUUGGAUUUUCUUUUCCUCCUUUUUUUUUGAAUUUUUGAAAAAUUAUGGAAAAUGUAAAAUCUUUUUGGAUUUUCUUUUUCUCCUUGUUUUUUUUUUAAUUUUUAAAAAAUGAUGGAAGAUGUAAAAUCUUUUUGGAUUUUCUUUUUCUUUUUUUUAAAUUUUAUUGAAAAAAAAUGAAAAGUAUAAAACCUUUUUGGAGUUUCUAUGUCAUUUUUUUGGAAAAUAAUGAGGAAAGUGUAAAGUCUUUUGGAUUUUCUAUUUCAUUUGAAAACCCUCUUUAAAGCCUAUAUCGCGUCGUUUAAGGCACAGUAACCGUCUUCCAUGUUAGAUUCAUCGUUGGACCUUGUUACCGUGCCGAAAAAGACGUUAUAGCGACCAUCCUGGGCCUUCCACGAUUGUUGACCUGUCUCGGACCAGGGAAGACGUUCUUCAAGACUUUUUUGGAAAAUAAUGGGGAAAGUGAAAAUCUUUUUGGAUUUUCUAUUUUAAGUUUUUUUUUCUUUUUGGAAAAUAAUGAAAAAGUAUAUAAUCACCUGCUUCAUUUUAUAUUUCACCCUCAUAUAUCCUUGGUCCACCAAAUGACCCUUGUACCCCUAAAGAGAUGCAACAUGUAGCACGUAGGGAUGAUUAAAUGUCUUUUUGGUUCAUAAGCCCAUUUUGACAUAAUUUGGAUAGGCCUCCUACAAUGGGACACAGUGUCUAGUACCAAACCCUGCUAGGUUUAAAUGAUAUGAUGCAAAUAAGUAUGACCUAAAGGCUGACCUACUGUUGGGGUUCACUAGACAAGGCAAUUCGGCGCGACACGUGGUCGAUGGUGCUGCUCUAGCUGUCAGCCCACUCCAUGCUCCUACGCCACCCCCAAAGACACGGGCGACUCACAAAAGGCCAUGUACACUCAAACAUACUUCGGAAGACUUGUUGCAGAAAGAAGACUCGGGGUUAUGCAAAUGAUGACAAUUAUAAAGCAGUAAACACAUAAAUCAAAAACAGUAAACACAUAAACAACUAGCAAAUAGUAACAAAUAUAUAAAACAAAAUAAAAUCAAGUAAAUCUUAUGAAAAAAUCAUAAAAACCUCAACCAAUUAUUGUAAAAGCAAACAAAAUCAAAUACUAGCUCAAACCUGCUUGUCCUUAGCAGAGUCGCCAUAGAUGUCACACCCCCCCCCCCCCCCCUUUUUUGUCUUUUUGGGCUUUAAAAUUGGGCUCAAAGAUAUUGAGUUAAAAACAAAUGUCUAAAUCUUAAUUAAAUCACUUUUAAUAUAAGAUAAAUAUACAACAUAAUGCAAAAUUUAAUCUAAUUAAUUAAAUUAAAUUAUAUAUAAAAUAUAAAUCUGUUUUGUAUUUUUCAAAUGUUACAUUAAAAUAAAGUAGGUUCAAAGCACUAUAUCCUUCUAAAAAUAUCUAAUACUUGAAUUAAAUUGAGAAAUAUGGAACUAUUUCUGUAAUUUUUAAUUUUUGUUCUUAAAAUAAAGUAAAAGAGUUCAAACUAGUUAAAAUAACUAUAUUAGACCAAGGGGUUUUUAAAUAUUAAAAGUGGCAAAAAAUUGUUCAAAAGGAAAUAACUUAGAGUCGCCACUUGACUUUUAGAAUAUUUCAGACUCUAAACUAAGUCUGCACCAGAGAUUCGGGUAAGAGGGUUUAUUUGACUCGGGUAGAAGGUGAUAGGCACUCCCAAGUCCCGUGAAAGUCAUGGUUGCAUACAUGAUCAAGUUGGUUCUUAGAAUAUUCAAAUUGAGGUAAAAAUAAACAUGGAAAGAGAAAAUAAACACACACGAGGAUCGAGGUCGUCUUUUUAACCUAAUAAAAUAAAAACAAAAGUAAAAACAAAAUACUAUUCUAUGCUUGCUCAAAGUGUUCUAUCGUUGGCCUUCAAAUACAAAUACUUCGGGACAUACCCCGGAUAAAAAUAUAUACAAAUUCUACGGGACAUUCCUUAGAUAAAUUUAACUAAGGGAACAACCUCUCGCCUCAAAACUACAAAAUCCUUAGACUUGCCUACCCAAGUAUGGUCGGCCUAAACAUACUCCUACCGAUAAAUUAGUAAAGAUAACUACGCAAGUGAAGAUUUAGAAUACUAAUAACUCGUAUUUUAUCUCAUUCCAUAACCCUUAGGUCCAAUUUUAUUUUUGAAUUGCAUCUCGCCAAAUUGCUCUUUUAAAUCCAACAACUGACAGUCUCAUUUCCAAUUCAAAUUAAGCUAAUAAUUUUAAUAACUAGACGUCUGAUUCCAAUUCCAAUUCACUCGCAGUCAAUUCAAAUAGUCAUAGGAGAGGUCACAUUCAAAGACAUAGAUAACAAGUCACAAAAUCGGAUCACCAAGCAAAUAGCUAACAUUAGAACAAGUAAAGGAUUGAACCUUAUUGCACGAAACCUUUGGAUUAAAUUUCAGCAGCUACCAAUGUGGUUCAAAGCAGCAAAUUCAACUCGAAUCAAACCAACGCACCACACCUCAGACGGAAACUCUAACAAUCGAAUACCCGUUACAACUCGACUUCAUUUCGGAAUCCAAGACCAAAGGAACAACGGCUUUUGUUUUUGGUCGUUGGAGAGAGAGAUCGACGUCGCCAGAGAAAUUCUAUCAUCGAUGAAAUCGGAUCUUGCCUUCUUGGAAACAACGUUUAAUGGAAACCAAUUUCUUUGUAAAAGUAAAAUAUUCACAAGUUUGAAUUACUGGAACUAAUUUAACAAUACAUAUGAAAUCUAAAAAAUGUCAAAAGGCAGAGUUCUUGAUUAAGCCUUCGCCGGAAAGCUAUUGUCCGAUCAACUUCUUUUUUUUCUCUUCACAAUCAAAGGAUGAGCAAAAAAAAAUUAAUGAGAGGGUAGUUGUGGUAGCUCUCCAUUAAUGGUUGUGAAGGAGCACAGAGGUGCAGGUUGUGGUUUAAUGUCGGUGAGGGUGGUUCAGUGCAAGGAUCGUUAGUUGGCUGGUUACUGUUGAAGGGGAUCGCCGGUGGGUGAAGACGUGGAGGUUGCCGACAGUUGUGAAUUUAAUAAUAUGGGGUCUAUUUUUGGGUGAAGGAGACGGGUUUCAAGGGGUCUUCGCCGGUUUCAGGCGGUCAUGGUGGACGUUUAGCAGCGAGUUUUAAGGGUUCUAGGGUGUGUAGUCUAGGUUCAUGUUGUAGUCUCCAUUGUUGUGUAAGGUUAGCUCCCUAGGGUUUUUUGUUGUAUCUUGUGUGUUGUAAGGUUAAUGAAGAAGGAGAAGGGUUAGGAAGAAAGUAUAAUGGGUUAGGUCUUUUUGGGCUUUAAAAUUGGGCUCAAAGAUAUUGAGUUAAAAACAAAUGUCUAAAUCUUAAUUAAAUCACUUUUAAUAU